CCGGUUUAUAAUACUUGGUUUUACGUUUUGAGAUUGACGGUUCAAAUAUCAAUUGGAAUCUUGCAUGUUAUAUGACAUCUUUGUGCCAGCAGUCACAGUGCUAACCUCCCCCAAGGCUGAGAGAGACCAGGUCGAGAGUAGCUUAUACUCCGACGGUCAGUUACAGAUCAGUUUUAACGCUCGUAUUUAUAAUAAAUCCACUCAAUAAACUUGUAACUGUCAGUGCCUUUGUUGGGAUUCUGCCCCCACAUUUUGGAGCUGCCAGUGUUACAAAUGGAGCCCCCAGUGAGGAUUGUCAAGUGACAGGAGUGGACCAGCGGAGCAUUUGAACAGAUGUUCGUAUUGAUACUUAAAAAGGUACCAAAACAUUAAGUGAUCACAUUAAUACAUAAUAAAUAUUGCGCAUUGUGCCGGCAUACAACAUAGAACUUCAGGAGGACUACACCCAGUGACACACAUCAGGAUUGAGGAACUGUGUUUUGAACAGUAAAGUACUGUGUGGUGGAAAAAAAAAUCUGUUGUGUAUGGUGCAGUCACAGUGCUAACCUCCCCCAAGGCUGAGAGAGACCAGGUCGAGAGUAGCUUAUACUCCGUAAGUAAGAUGUGCAGUUUGUCAAAGUAACGAUGUAUAAACACUAUUGUUAUUGUCACUGUGUUGUUU